GGUGGAGGAGGAGGAUGACGACAUGGACGAGUUCGGCGACGAUGCGAUCCGCGGCCACGAGUCCACGGCUGUGAAUGCAGUUUUUUUGGGCGAAUCAUUCACGAAUCGCGAAUAAUUAUUUUUUGACGAAAAAAUAUAUUUUUUUUAAUUUUUUAUUUUUAAAAUACUAAUAAAAAUUCGUGAAUUAUUCGCGAAUUAACUAACCUCGACGUGAAACCGGACUAACCAAAAGUCCUCUCGAACCCAUUCGAGUUCAAAUCGCGAUUCCCCUGCCACCCUCACCCCGAAUCUUCUUUUUCCUCUCCAUAUUCUACCUUUCCCCUCUCCCUCUCUCUCUCUCUCUCUCUCUCUCUCUCUCUCUUCCCCAUUUUUCUCCUCCCAAACCCUAACCCUAAGACGCGGCGAUCUCCGCUGCCACGACGAUCUCCGCUGCCACGGCGAUCUUCACGGUGUGAUCUCCCCGGAGACACUUCGAAACCCUAAGGUCUUGGCCGUUGCGCGAUCAUGAUGGUUGCCGCUGCCGCUGCCACUCUAACACCCUAGUACUUAGGUAUCGUGUGAUCAUCAGGUAAACACUCCCCCAAACCCCCUCUCUUUUCCUUUUUUUUUUAAAUUUUUGUUAUUACUAGGUAUUUUUAAAGAACUGCUUUGCUUCGAUUGGUGAUUUUGGUUUUAUUUUCGUUUCAUUUUGUAUCGUAUUUGUUAUCUGUUUAAUCUUGGUUGCUAUGAAGUCCUUGUUUCCAGGAGUGGCUACGCCAUGUUGAGGGUUCUUAAGUCCUAGGUAUAUAACAUUUUAUAGUGCAAUUUGUUACUUNUCGGUCAUUCAAGUUGUCAAUUUUGAGAACCUUUUGAUUGUAAGUUAUAUGAUGUCCAAAAAUUAUGAAAUUUGAUUUUAGAAUAUUUAAAUAUUGUAAAUUAUGUUUAAUAGUAUGGAUCGCCGAUUCGAAAGCUCUAUCAUCAAAAACGACUUACGAAUACGAAGGUGAUCGUAUUCAUAAUAAUAUAGUAGCAGGACUAUAUAUAUGUAGAGUCCGGCUACUAUACUCUUACGAGUACAGAUCUUUUUGCACUCAUAAGUUUUUGGCCGUUAGAUCCACCCUUUUGACCAUUUCUACUCGUUAGAUCAUAAUAUUCAACCAACCACCAACUCAACCCUAACCGUGGACUACUAUCAUCCUUACCGCACAUCUCUUCAUCCAACGGCCAAAAACUUAUGAGUACAAAGGGACCUAUACUCACAAAAGUAUAGUAGCCCUAACAUGUAUGUAUAUAAAGUCCGACUCUAUACUAUUAAUAGCACCCAAGCACUUGGUGCUACCCCUUUGACCAUUUUCACCCAUUAGAUCAUACUAUUCAACCAACCACCCAACCACUAUUAUCCUAACAGCACAUUUAUUAAUCCAAGGACCGAAAACCUAAUAUCACCAAUGAAUUAGUGCUAUUAAUAGUAUAGUAGCCUAGUGCUAUAUAUAUAGGGAUAUUAGGGCUGGAUACUCUCAAAAGCACAUGAAUAGUACAUGCUCUCGACUUUCUAACCCUUGGAUUUGUAGGAUUUAUUAUUUGGUGGUUGAACUAGCAUGAAGCCAAGAGCCUGAUAGUCUAUAGCAUGCACUAUUCAUGUGCUAUUAGAAGCACCCAAGAUGGACUCUCUCUCUCUCUCUCUCUCUCUCUCUCUCUCUAUAUAUAUAUAUAUAGCAAAUGCAUAUGCAAGUCAGAUUCAUAAUUCAUGGUGAUAUCUAU
rnacentral:lncRNA from 1 species